UACGGAGGGUGCAAGCAUUGAUCGGAAUUACUGGGCGUAAAGGGCGCGUAGGCGGUCUGAAAAGUCAGAUGUGAAAUUCCGGGGCUCAACCCCGGAGCUGCAUCCGAAACUUUCGGACUUGAGGUUGGCAAGGGAAAACGGAAUUCCACGUGUAGCGGUGAAAUGCGUAGAUAUGUGGAAGAACACCGGUGGUGAAGACGGUUUUCUGUGCUAAACCUGACGCUGAGGCGCGAAAGCUAGGGGAGCAAACAGG
rnacentral:rRNA from 1 species